AUGAACGCUGGCGGCGUGCCUAAUACAUGCAAGUCGAGCGAACGGACGAGAAGCUUGCUUCUCUGAUGUUAGCGGCGGACGGGUGAGUAACACGUGGAUAACCUACCUAUAAGACUGGGAUAACUUCGGGAAACCGGAGCUAAUACCGGAUGGUAUUUUGAACCGCAUGGUUCAAAAGUGAAAGACGGUCUUGCUGUCACUUAUAGAUGGAUCCGCGCUGCAUUAGCUAGUUGGUAAGGUAACGGCUUACCAAGGCAACGAUGCAUAGCCGACCUGAGAGGGUGAUCGGCCACACUGGAACUGAGACACGGUCCAGACUCCUACGGGAGGCAGCAGUAGGGAAUCUUCCGCAAUGGGCGAAAGCCUGACGGAGCAACGCCGCGUGAGUGAUGAAGGUCUUCGGAUCGUAAAACUCUGUUAUUAGGGAAGAACAUAUGUGUAAGUAACUGUGCACAUCUUGACGGUACCUAAUCAGAAAGCCACGGCUAACUACGUG
rnacentral:rRNA from 1 species